rnacentral:rRNA from 1 species
AAAUCCUUUCACAACUUUUAGCGAUGGAUGCCUCGGCUCGAGUAACGAUGAAGGACGCAGCAAAAUGCGAUAAGCGCCGUGAAUGGCAGAAUUCCGAGAAUCAAGAGAACGCUGAACGCAUACUGCACUUCCAGGUUACUCCUGGGAGUAUGUCUACUUCAGGACGAUAACGUUUAAAUGCUUCCAAAGGACACAUCCUGGUUCCGGCCAGAUUGCCUUUGGUGCGCGUUGAUGUGUGUCAGUGCCCAGGACCUAGUGUUCCAUUGACGCAUGAAAUCUACGACAUUUUGAAAUCCAGCUCACGCUUUUUGUUGCUUGUCUCCAUCAGCGUUGUGGUUUGGUUUCGGAAAAAAGUUGUCCAAGCUAGUUGAGAUUGAUUUCUCAAAUUGUUGCUUUUCGUAUGAAGUUAGACAAGGCUACCCGCUGAAUUUAAGCAUAUAAGUAAGCGGAGGAAAAGAAAAUGAAAAUGAUUCCCUUAGUAAUGGCGAAUGAACCGGGAGGAGCUCAACUUGUAAAUCGGGAACCUCGUUCUUGAAUUGUAGUCUUGAUAGGCAUUACCAGUGCUAGACCAGACGUAAGUCUUUUUGGAAGAAUGCGUCAGAGAGGGUGAGAAUCCCGUAUGCCGUUUGGUUCUAGUGCGUUCGGUGUGCUGUUUAGAGUCGCGUACUUUGGAACUGGUGCGCAAAAUGGGAGGUAAUCUUCUUCUAAAGCUAAAUACUGACUCGAGACCGAUAGCAAACAAGUACCGUGAGGGAAAGGUGAAAAGGACUUUGGAAAGAGAGUUAAAAGUGUCUGAAAUCGCUGAGAGGGAAGCGAAUGAAACCAGUUUAUUGCGGCGAGAUUGCCGUGGGAGAGCGCAAAGAUUGUGCUGUGGCACCGAAAGGGUUGCAGUGCGGUUGGAGCGGGUUUUCUGCGGUGUUUCUCGUUGUUACAAGUCAACGUCAGUUGGGUAUUCGACGAAAUCUGCUGUUCACUCCUCUCUUUGCUGCGGCGAAUUGAGAGUGGUCGGUGUGGAGUCUUACCUCGACUGAGGACUGCGUGCGGGGGGUAACUUGGCAUAAUCUUCGCAAAAGUUUGCUUUACUCCUAGAGUGUAGUAGGCCUAGCGGGGAUGAGCCGAGAUCUCUUCGUUCUAUGACGUUGACGAAAUGGCUUUUUUCGACCCGUCUUGAAACACGGACCAAGGAGUCUAGCUUUUGUGUAAGUGUGAGGGUGGCAAACCUUUACGCAUAAUGAAGGUAAGAGUUUGGAUUUUUUAGUUUUGCACAAACGUCCGAUUUUGAUCUUUUGAGAGAGAUUUGAGAAAGAACACAAUGGCUAGGACCCGAAAGAUGGUGAACUAUGCCUGAGUAGGGUGAAGCCAGGGGAAACUCUGGUGGAGGCUCGUAGCGGUACUGACGUGCAAAUCGUUCGUCGAACUUGGGUAUAGGGGCGAAAGACUAAUCGAACCAUCUAGUAGCUGGUUCCCUCCGAAGUUUCCCUCAGGAUAGCUAUCAACGGAGAACAGUUUUAUCAGGUAAAGCGAAUGAUUAGAGGCAUUGGGGACGCUUAGUCCUCGACCUAUUCUCAAACUUUAAAU